rnacentral:rRNA from 1 species
GACGAACGCUGGCGGCGCGCCUAACACAUGCAAGUCGAACGAGCGAGGGAGAGCUUGCUUUCUCGAGCGAGUGGCGAACGGGUGAGUAACGCGUGAGGAACCUGCCUCAAAGAGGGGGACAACAGUUGGAAACGACUGCUAAUACCGCAUAAGCCCACGACCCGGCAUCGGGUAGAGGGAAAAGGAGCAAUCCGCUUUGAGAUGGCCUCGCGUCCGAUUAGCUAGUUGGUGAGGUAACGGCCCACCAAGGCAACGAUCGGUAGCCGGACUGAGAGGUUGAACGGCCACAUUGGGACUGAGACACGGCCCAGACUCCUACGGGAGGCAGCAGUGGGGAAUAUUGCACAAUGGGGGAAACCCUGAUGCAGCGACGCCGCGUGGAGGAAGAAGGUCUUCGGAUUGUAAACUCCUGUUGUUGAGGAAGAUAAUGACGGUAC